GAUGAAGAACGUAGCGAAAUGCGAUAAGUAGUGUGAAUUGCAGAAUUCCGUGAAUCAUCGAAUCUUUGAACGCACAUUGCGCCCCCUGGCAUUCCUAGGGGCAUGCCUGUUCGAGCGUCAUUAACAACCAUCAAGCGGGACCUGUCUGCCUCGCUUGGCCAUGGGGGAUGGCCGCCCUCGGGGCGCCCACCCCCGAAAUACAACGGCGGACAGCCACCCCGGGGCACCCGGGCGUAGUAAGUUGCUCUCUCGCCCGCGCCCACGGAAUGGACUGUCCGGCCGGUCGAACCCCCAACAUCCAAUGGUUGACCUCGGAUCAGGUAGGGAUACCCGCUGAACUUAAGCAUAUCAAUAAGCGGAGGA
rnacentral:misc_RNA from 1 species